GUUUAAAGAAUGUGACUUUUAAUUUGUAAUUCAUAUUGUUUUAUUCCUUUGCAUUGUUUUUUGAUUAAGUUUACUUUUGUUGUAGUCUAAAAAAUAUUUAAAAGACUGUAAUCAAUUUUAGGAUAUACGUAAUGAGUAAGAAAACAGGGCAAGUAAAGUGGUUUAACGAAAGCAAAGGUUUCGGUUUCAUCACUCCAGCCGAUGGUAGUAAAGAUGUAUUCGUUCACUUUUCUUCUAUUGCAGGUGAAGGAUUUAAAACUUUAGCUGAAGGACAAAAAGUUGAAUUCUCCAUUCAGGAUAGUCCGCGUGGACCAGCAGCAGCUGAAGUUGUUGUAAUAUAAGUAAAAAUAUUCAUUAGCUCAAAAUGAGUUAAAUUUAAAACCUACUUUGAAA
rnacentral:sRNA from 1 species